rnacentral:rRNA from 1 species
GACGAACGCUGGCGGCGUGCUUAACACAUGCAAGUCGAACGGAAAGGCCCUGCUUUUGUGGGGUGCUCGAGUGGCGAACGGGUGAGUAACACGUGAGUAACCUGCCCUUGACUUUGGGAUAACUUCAGGAAACUGGGGCUAAUACCGGAUAGGAGCUCCUGCUGCAUGGUGGGGGUUGGAAAGUUUCGGCGGUUGGGGAUGGACUCGCGGCUAUCAGCUUGUUGGUGGGGUAGUGGCUUACCAAGGCUUUGACGGGUAGCCGGGCUGAGAGGGUGACCGGCCACAUUGGGACUGAGAUACGGCCCAGCCUCCUACGGGAGGCAGCAGUGGGGAAUAUUGCACAAUGGGCGGAAGCCUGAUGCAGCAACGCCGCGUGCGGGAUGACGGCAUUCGGGUUGUAAACCGCUUUCGCCUGUGACGAAGCGUGAGUGACGGUAAUGGGUAAAGAAGCACCGGCUAACUACGUG